AGAGCGAACGCUGGCGGCAGGCUUAACACAUGCAAGUCGAGCGGAUGUAGCAAUACAUCAGCGGCAGACGGGUGAGUAACACGUGGGAACGUACCUUUUGGUUCGGAACAACACAGGGAAACUUGUGCUAAUACCGGAUAAGCCCUUACGGGGAAAGAUUUAUCGCCGAAAGAUCGGCCCGCGUCUGAUUAGCUAGUUGGUGAGGUAAUGGCUCACCAAGGCGACGAUCAGUAGCUGGUCUGAGAGGAUGAUCAGCCACAUUGGGACUGAGACACGGCCCAAACUCCUACGGGAGGCAGCAGUGGGGAAUAUUGGACAAUGGGCGCAAGCCUGAUCCAGCCAUGCCGCGUGAGUGAUGAAGGCCCUAGGGUUGUAAAGCUCUUUGUGCGGGAAGAUAAUGACGGUACCGCAAGAAUAAGCCCGGCUAACUUCGCGCCAGCAGCCGC
rnacentral:rRNA from 1 species